GAGACAGACACAUGAGAGAGACAUACAGACAGGUGAGAGACAGACAGGUGAGACAGACACACGAGAGAGACAGACAGACAGGUGAGAGUGAGACAGGGCUGACCCAGGACGAUGGGCGUGGCAGCGAACACAGAGCAGCGCAGUGUGUAG